UAUAUAGUAUAAUAUUUUAUAUAAUUAUAAAUAUAAGAAAUCCUUUUUUCCUUUAGUAUAGCAAUAAAAAUAUAAUUUAAAUAUUAAAAAGUAAAUAUAU
rnacentral:rRNA from 1 species